rnacentral:rRNA from 1 species
CGACCGGCGCACGGGUGAGUAACGCGUAUCCAACCUUCCCAUUACUGUGGGAUAACCUGCCGAAAGGCAGACUAAUACCGCAUAGUCUUCGAUGACGGCAUCAGAUUUGAAGUAAAGAUUUAUCGGUAAUGGAUGGGGAUGCGUCUGAUUAGCUUGUUGGCGGGGUAACGGCCCACCAAGGCACGAUCAGUAGGGGUUCUGAGAGGAAGGUCCCCCACAUUGGAACUGAGACACGGUCCAA